rnacentral:misc_RNA from 1 species
CUUCUCUCUCUAACUCCUAAAUCUUACCAAAAUUCUGAAUUUUUCGUUGCUGUAUCAACUUUAGGCGGUUAUACUGAAGAAUUUCUUGUUAAAUUGUUAGUUUUUUCACAAAAUUUGGUUCAAAAUUGUCCAUUUUUGUUAACUUUGACUGAUGGAAUCAAAAGGGUCGGCGAAAUGGAUGGCGCCGGGGUUCAGAUUUCAUCCGACGGAUGAAGAAUUGGUUAGGUACUAUCUCCGCCGGAAAAUCUAUGGAAGGACGUUUAAGUCUGAUCUUAUAUCGGAGAUUGAUAUUUACAAGGUUGAACCAUGGGAUCUUCCUGGCAUGUCAAGGCUGAAGACAAGAGAUUUGGAGUGGUAUUUCUUUAGUGUUCUUGAUAAGAAGUAUGGCAAUGGAGCAAGAACCAACCGAGCAACAGAAAAAGGCUACUGGAAGACAACCGGAAAGGAUAGGGCUGUCCAUCGUAAUAAGUCUCAGGUUGUUGGGAUGAAGAAGACUUUAGUUUAUCACAGUGGUCGUGCUCCAAAGGGUCAGAGAACUAAUUGGGUGAUGCAUGAGUACAGAUUGAUUGAUGAGGCAUUAGAUAAAGCUGGAAUUCCUCAGGAUGCAUUUGUUUUAUGCAGAGUCUUCCAGAAGAGUGGUGCAGGGCCGAAGAAUGGGGAACAGUAUGGGGCACCUUUUAUAGAGGAGGAAUGGGAGGAUGAUGAGUUACAAGUUCCUUCGAAGGAUGAGACUACUGAGGAUUUUGUAUUUGGUGAUGAUAUAUAUUUUGAUGCAAAUGAACUUGACCAGAUUCUUGGGACCGACAAAGCUGUGGCUGGUGCUUCUUUUCCUUCGGAUUAUUCUUAUGGUGAAAAUGGAAGUACGGAGGAGACAAAUAACUCCUCUGAUGCACAGCAACCUGACGAGCUUAAACCAAUUGAUCUAGCUGUUCAAAAGAAUUUUAAUGCUGAGCAAGUCAAUCAUGAAUAUAUUGGUGAAUCAAGCAAGAACAUGAACUCUGAAGAUGGGGAUUACUUGCUUAAUGAACCAAUUGUAAAUGGGACUGAUGACCUCCAAUUUAAUGAUGAAGCUUUCCUCGAAGCUAAUGAUCUUUCAAAUCCCGUUCAGGCUGACAGCUCUGGUUUCGACAUGCUUGAGGAAUACCUUACUUACUUUGAUGCAAAUGACGACUUUCAGAAUAUGAGUUUUGAUCCUUCAGUUUUCUUUGGAAAUGAUGAUCAAAUUUCUGAUCAAGCACUGCUGCCUCAGAAGGACGUUGGGGAGGUAACUCAGCAACCUAUUGCGCCCAAUGAAGGGUUUAGUGAAGAUAAGAAUGGUAUUGCAUCGUCCUCCAAACUGGUACCAACUAAAUUUGAAUCAGAUUAUCAGUAUCCAUUUAUAAAGCAGGCAAGCCAGAUGUUGGGCAAUAUUCACGCUCCUCCAGCAUUUGCUUCAGAGUUCCCUACAAAAGAUGCAAUUCUCCGUCUGAACUCAUUCUCUCGGUCAGCUAGUUCAGUUCAGGUCACUGCUGGCAAUGGGACGAGAUGGCCAUUGGGCAAGCAUGUGUAUUACAACAUUAUCCUAUCUCUUGGCCUAUCACGGGGUAGUAGUGAUGACUCUUCCAUGGAUUCAUUUCAUAAGAUUCAUCCAGGAAAGACUACUUCGACGAUUUCCAGAGGCUGGUUCUGUUAUCUAUUCUUUUCGUUCCUAAUGCUUUUGAUGAGCCUCAGAAUUGGAACCAUAAUCUGUGCCAGUUAAGGUUUCAGCACUCACUAAAGGAUAACUUGAUCACCAAAGCUCAAGGUGGAUAUGUUAUCAUACAUACUCUGGUCUAUUAUUUCAUCUCAAUUAAGACUUUGAUACAUUAGAUUUUUUUUUGUGUUGGACCAAG